GAUGAACGCUGGCGGCGUGCCUAAUACAUGCAAGUCGAGCGAACAGACGAGGAGCUCGCUCCUCUGACGUUAGCGGCGGACGGGUGAGUAACACGUGGAUAACCUACCUAUAAGACUGGGAUAACUUCGGGAAACCGGAGCUAAUACCGGAUAAUAUAUUGAACCGCAUGGUUCAAUAGUGAAAGACGGUUUUGCUGUCACUUAUAGAUGGAUCCGCGCCGCAUUAGCUAGUUGGUAAGGUAACGGCUUACCAAGGCAACGAUGCGUAGCCGACCUGAGAGGGUGAUCGGCCACACUGGAACUGAGACACGGUCCAGACUCCUACGGGAGGCAGCAGUAGGGAAUCUUCCGCAAUGAGCGAAAGCCUGACGGAGCAACGCCGCGUGAGUGAUGAAGGUCUUCGGAUCGUAAAACUCUGUUAUUAGGGAAGAACAAAUGUGUAAGUAACUAUGCACGUCUUGACGGUACCUAAUCAGAAAGCCACGGCUAACUACGUG
rnacentral:rRNA from 1 species